rnacentral:rRNA from 1 species
UAGGGAAUCUUCCGCAAUGGACGAAAGUCUGACGGAGCAACGCCGCGUGAGUGAUGAAGGUUUUCGGAUCGUAAAACUCUGUUGUUAGGGAAGAACAAGUACCGUUCUAACAGGACGGUGCCUUGACGGUACCUAACCAGAAAGCCCCGGCUAACUACGUGCCAGCAGCCGCGGUAAUACGUAGGGGGCAAGCGUUGUCCGGAAUUAUUGGGCGUAAAGCGCUCGCAGGCGGUCUUUUAAGUCUGAUGUGAAAGCCCACGGCUCAACCGUGGAGGGUCAUUGGAAACUGGAGGACUUGAGUACAGAAGAGGAGAGUGGAAUUCCACGUGUAGCGGUGAAAUGCGUAGAGAUGUGGAGGAACACCAGUGGCGAAGGCGACUCUCUGGUCUGUAACUGACGCUGAGGAGCGAAAGCGUGGGGAGCAAACA